GACGAACGCUGGCGGCGUGCUUAACACAUGCAAGUCGAGCGGUAAGGCCCUUCGGGUACACGAGCGGCGAACGGGUGAGUAACACGUGGGUGACCUGCCUCUAGCUCUGGGAUAAGCCUGGGAAACUGGGUCUAAUACCGGAUAUGACUCCACGGCGCAUGUUGUGGGGUGGAAAGCCUUGUGUGGCUAGAGAUGGGCCCGCGGCCUAUCAGCUUGUUGGUGGGGUGANGGCCUACCAAGGCGACGACGGGUAGCCGGCCUGAGAGGGCGACCGGCCACACUGGGACUGAGACACGGCCCAGACUCCUACGGGAGGCAGCAGUGGGGAAUCUUGCGCAAUGGGCGAAAGCCUGACGCAGCGACGCCGCGUGAGGGAUGACGGCCU
rnacentral:rRNA from 1 species